CAAAGGUGCUUUGUGUUGAGCAACCAGCCGCCUUCGCUUUUCUCUUCCAUUUCUGCCCACUGUCCCUCUGGCUCCGUCACCACCAGAGUGUGCUGCUGCUUUGUCAAGAUGCUCAAAAGGAAAGGCGGAGAGGCAGGGGAAGAGCUGGCUCCCCUCACUCCAGUGCCUGGUUGGAGGUAAACAGCCUCCCUGGGCCAGGAGGGAAGGGGCAACCUUCAAAGGCAGAAAAGAUAUAUAUAUAUAUCUUAGUGGACUACAUAUAUGCAUGGGGUCCUUGGAGUCCAGAAGAGGGCAUCGGACUUCCUGGAACUCUCCUGGAGUCACAGAUGGUCCUGAGUCACCAUGCAAGUGCUGGGAACUGAAACUGAGUCCUCUCUGAAAGAGCAGAAAGUCCCUUUAACCACUGAGCCAUCUCUCCAGCCCCACCAUGGUGAGGACUUUUAAAUCAUCAGAAUUCUGCUUGUUUGCUUCAACAGCCAGAACCCUGUGACCACAGAUGAAAAGCAAACAGAUCCCAAGUUAACUGAAGGGAUAGAAAGCAUCAACAGGGACACUUGGUAGUUGGCUGACUCUGGAGUAGUGAGGUAACUGUCAAAGGUAUUAUGUGUGCAUACAUGUAUAGAUGUGUAUAUGGAGGAUUAAAAAGGGGGAUAAACUUACUCCUUCCUUGAGUGGGGCCUUCCUAUGUUUCACCUUUAUAUGUUUAGUUCGAUGUGUGGAUUGUAUUAGGUGUGUAGUUACACGUUUUUAUGUUUUAAGAGGUGAUACUCUUUCCUCUUGGAUGAAUACUUUACCCAGAAUUUCAAAGUACAAUACAGAUAGAAGAGAAAUUCACCUUGGAUGCUCCAAGGGAAGGAACCAGAAACUAAAGAACAUCACUGGGACCUCCUGGACUUGUUUGAAACCCAAUAAGCUACUAGAUCUUGGUGAUUUUAACAUCCUGUCAAGUCAAGGGAUAAGAUUAGAGACAUCUACUUUUUAUGUGGGUAACCCCACUUUUCUGUUGCUGCCCCUUCAGUGGGUCUAAUUAUCAGUGGUCAAAGAUAUUGCUGUACCUUGAUAAUUCUCCUUCUAACACAUAGUUAAGAGGUCGAUAGCAGCCUAACACUGUUAAGUCAUUUACUUCAUUACAUUCAUUACAUACUUGCACACAGCAUCAUCAAAAGAAGAGUACAUUAACUACAGAUAUAUAGAUAUAUAGAUAGAUAGAUAGAGUGCAUCCAUAUAAUUUUAUUUUGGUAUGCUAUUAUAAUUGUUAUACUUUACCAUUAGCUAUUGUUAAUCUUUUAGUAUGCUUCAUUUACAAGUUAAAUUUUGUCACAGGCAUUAUGCAUAGGAAAAACUAUAGUCUAUUGAGUUGGGCAUUAUCCUUGGUGUCAGGUAUCUGCUGCGAGUGCAGAACAAUUCCUCACAGGCAUGUAGAGGUCACUGGACUUGGGGAUUGCUAUCUACCUGUCUCCCUUCCCUUGGAAACUUUUUACAAUGUAUUCUUUACUUUCAACAUAAUCCCAUCCUGCCCUUAAUUCCACAACAGUAUUUUUACCUAAUUAUUCAUAGCAGACAAAGAAGAUACUCUUUUUCCUCUACUUAAAAACAAAGGAAGCUGCCACCUUCCCAUGUCACUGUCACUCUCUGUUUAUGGACAGUUCACUAGAAUAGCAGUGGAUGGGAAUGAAGAGCUCCACAAUCAAGUGGCAAGCUGUGUGGCCUUGGGUGACUUAGGCCACUGUGCUGACACUGUGCCCUCUCAGGUAAAAGGUUAUUUCCAGUUCUAAAAUUCAAAGCCCAUACCACAAGGUGGGGAACGUUCCUAGAACCUGUAGACUGACCUCAAACUCAAAGGCAUCUCCUCCUGAGACAACAGGCUGCUUGCUCAAGGCGUUACCUACUGCUUUAUUUGCUUGGUAAGGAUGAAACGAAACGCUAGGGACCUCAUGUGAGCAUGUCGGUCUUGCAUUAUAGAGAGUUCGAAUGUCUCUUUUAAUCACGUUAGCUGGACUGAUGUGAACUUCUUAACUGUCUCUGUGGCUGCUUAUUUAUAAAUAUUAUGGACACGCGGUUCUCUGGGUUCUCUGUGUGAGCACGUGAUCAGGGAUGCAUGAAGAGAGGACCAAAAGCAGCAACGUCAAAUCCCCCACGCAGACCAUCUAAGGCCUUUGCUUGGGAGUUUAACCAAGUUUUGCUCCCCGGCUCAGGAUAAGCUCCUUCAAAGAGUUAUUUCUUUGAGCUGAGGUUAGAUUUUUGUUUUAUUCAAAGUGACUUCAGCCCCGUCACAAGACAGUCUCAUAAAAUCCGUAUCUUGGCUUAAGCUGGGGAGAAAUGAGCCAAUCCAUCAGCCAGGAAUGCGGCAGUCUGACCACUUCCUCAGGCAACUAGAAGGGGGUGCCAUCUAUUCAAUUUAUGGGGCUGGGUGGCAGUGAGCAAGGCACUCCUGGAGGUGCGUGCGGUAAAUGAGAAUUUCCCUGAACUCUUGCCUUGAUAAAGUUCAAAAUCUAAAUAAAAGAACCAUCUGGGAAGGGAGGGGAGACAAGGGACCGGAAGCAGGAGAAAAAGUCAGUUCUUGUUCAAGGAAGGCAAGAAGAAAGGAAGCAAACUGUCUUCCACUACACCCCCAACUUGCCUAGGACACAACUGGCAGAUGGGACUGGAAGCAGGGCCUCCGGAACACCUCUCCCUCUUCUAUCUGAAUGCUAAAACCAACCCUCAUUUAAUGGGAAAAUGUAAGUUUGACUCGAUUGCCUCCCCUGACCUCGAAUCCUACCACCUGUGGUAACCUUGUGAUUUGUCAUCUCAGAUCAUAAACAAGUGCGACUCCAACAGGGCAGCCGAUAUAAUAUCAUUAGUUUAUAUUUAUGUCUGCUCUUUCCCAGACCUCAUUGCAAAUGCUGUUUUGAUGCCAUUGAUGAGAGGUCUGGGAUUACAAAUCUCGACCAUUUUAACAGACAUUUGGGAAAGGAAACAGAAGACGGAUAAUUUUGAGGUCUUUCCAAAAGCCAAAGGAAGGAGGAUGGCUAAUAAAAAAAAUAUAUAUAUAUAUAUAUUUUUUUUCAGUUAUUUUGAUGAACUCAGGUUGAAAUGUCAAUUACUCCCCUUUGGCUAGAACAUGAAACUUGAAGCCCUUGGCCUUGCAAAUUGGGCCUUGCAUGAAGCCCAAGCCACUAUUUCUAACCAUGAAUUCUAAACUGUAGCUCCCCUAAAGAAACUCAGUGAGCAUGACUCUGCUCUUGCUUUCCUUUCCCCCUGAAUGUCUUUUCCUUGCUGAUAAUCUCACUAUGUAUACACACGACCCUUCCUCACCUCCACACCAGGACUGCCGAGGGCUACUCCUCCCUUCUCUAUACCUUAAAAACUAUAGUCUUGAGCAUCUUCUAAGGGACAUUAAGAAUUCAGAUGGCCUUAUCCACCAGCCUCCUGAGGCCAAGGAUCCUUCAUCAUCCAUCCUUGGCAGCCCUAUGAGAGCAAAUCCAGAAUCUUUCCCACCAGUCACAGUCAAUGAGAUUUCAGCAAUUAAUGAAUUAAGAUGGACCUGACAUAACACCGAGUGUAUCGCUGGAUAUCAAAAAUUCAUUUUACCACAAAUUGUAAAACACCAGCAACCACCUUUCCUUCCCUAUCCUCAAUUGCUAUUAAAUACAGAUUUUUAAAUGGUGCAGCAAUCAUGAGAUAAUGGCAUGCAGCCAUAGAUCAAGAUGGUUUUAAUGUGAGCUGAGUCUCCACAGACACCCUAACCUUAGCUAAUGAUGAAGACCAGUGAUAGACGUGUUAUAACUAGCAGUAGAAAGCAUUGUUUUCUGAAGCUUUUGGUUGAUUGUUUAUUGUUGGCUGUUCCUCCCCACUCAAAAGGGCAACUUCUAAAUCCUUGUUCAUCAGUAGCACUUAUAAGACAAAAAAAAAA